rnacentral:lncRNA from 1 species
UUGGCGUUAGGGUUAAAAUCACUGUCCAAAACCUUUGUAGGAACUCUUUUCCAACCUUUUGGAGUUAGUUAGACCAAAAAAAAAUGAAAAAUUAAAAAACAAUAUUUGGGGUUUUUGGGGUUCCUGAAUGUAAUACCCGGGUAUUAGAUUUUGAGGCUAGGGUAAGGUUUAAGUUUUUUGGCAUUAGGGUUAAAAUCACUGUCCAAAACCUUUGUAGGAACUCUGUUCCAACCUUUUGGAGUUGGUUACACCAACAAAAAUGUAAAAUGAAGAAAAAAAUAUUUGGGGUGUUCAGGCUUCCUGAAGGUAAUACCCGGGUAUUAGAUUUCAAGGCUAGGGUAAGGUUUAAGGUUUUUGGCGUUAGGGUUAAAAUCACUGUCCAAAACCUUUGUAGGAACUCUUUUCCAACCUUUUGGAGUUAGUUAGACCAAAAAAUAUGAAAAAAGAAAAAAAUAUUAUUGGGGGUUUUCGGGCUCCCUGAAAGUAAUACCCGUGUAUUAGGUUUUGGGACUAGGGAAAGGUUUAAGGGUUUUGGCGUUAGGGUUAAAAUCACUGUCCAAAACCUUUGUAGGAACUCUUUUCCAACCUUUUGGAGUUAGUUAGACCAAAAAAUAUGAAAAAAAGAAAAAUAUUAUUGGGGGUGUUCAGGCUUCCUAAAAGUAAUACCCGGGUAUUAGGUUAUGGGGCUAUGGUAAGGUUUAACGUUUUGGCGUUAGGUUUAAAAUCACUGUCCAAAACCUUUGUAGGAACUCUUUAACAACCUUUUGGAUUUAGUUAGACCAAAAAAAAAUGAAAAAUUAAAAAAAAUAUAUUUGGGGUGUUCAGGCUUCCUAAAAGUAAUACCCGGGUAUUAGGUUAUGGGGCCAUGGUAAGGUUUAAGGUUUUGGCGUUAGGUUUAAAAUCACUGUCAAAAACCUUUGUAGGAACUCUUUUCCAACCUUUUGGAGUAAGUUAGACCAAAAAAAGAAUGAAAAAUGAAAACAAAAAUAUUUGGGGUUUCCGGGCUUCCUGAAGGUAAUACAAGGGUAUUAUGUUAUGGGGCUAGAGUAAGGUUUAAGUUUUUUGGCGUUAGGGUUAAAAUCACUGUCCAAAAACUUUGUAGGAACUCCUUUCAAACCUUUUGGAGUUAGUUAGACCAAAGAAAAUGUAAAAUGAAGAAAAAAAUAUUUGGGGUGUUCAGGCUUCCUAGAAGUAAUACCCGGGUAUAAGAUUAUGGGGCUAUGGUAAGGUUUAAGGUUUUUGGCAUUAGGGUUAAAAUCACUGUCCAAAACCUUUGCAGGAACUCUUUUCCAACCUUUUGGAGUUGGUUACACCAACAAAAAUGUAAAAUGAAAAAAAAAUAUAUUUUGGUUGUUCGGGCUUCCUAAAAGUAAUACCCGGGUAAUAGGUUAUGGGGCUAUGGUAAGGUUUAAGGUUUUUGGCGUUAGGGUUAAAAUCACUGUCCAAAACCUUUGUAGGAACUCUUUUUCAACCUUUUGGAGUUAGUUAGACCAAAAAAUAUGAAAAAAGAAAAAAAUAUUAUUGGGGGUUUUCGGGCUCCCUGAAAGUAAUACCCGGGUAUUAGGUUUUGGGGCUAUGGUAAGGUUUAGGUUUUUUGGCGUUAGGGUUAAAAUCACUUUCCAAAACCUUUGUAGGAACUCUUUUCCAACCUUUUGGAGUUAGUUAGACCAAAAAAAAAUGAAAAAUUAAAAAACAAUAUUUGGGGUUUUCGGGGUUCCUGAAUGUAAUACCCGGGUAUUAGAUUUUAAGGCUAGGGUAAGGUUUAAGGUUUUUGGCGUUAGGGUUAAAAUCACUGUCCAAAACCUUUGUAGGAACUCUUUUCCAACCUUUUGGAGUUAGUUAGACCAAAAAAAAAAAAGAAAAAUGAAAAAAAAAUAUUUUGGGUGUUCAGGCUUCCUAAAAGUAAUACCCGGGUAUUAGGUUAUGGGGCUAUGGUAAGGUUUAAGGUUUUUGGCGUUAGGGUUGAAAUCACUGUCCAAAACCUUUGUAGGAACUCUUUUUCAACCUUUUGGAGUUAGUUAGACCAAAAAAAAAAUGAAAAAUGAAAAAAAAAAUAUUUGGGGUUUACGGGCUUCCUGAAUGUAAUACCCGGGUAUUAGAUUUUAAGGCCAGGGUAAGGUUUAAGUUUUUUGGCGUUAGGGUUAAAAUCACUGUCCAAAACCUUUGUAGGAACUCUUUUCCAACCUUUUGGAGUUAGUUAGACCAAAAAAAAAAGAAAAAUUAAAAAACAAUAUUUGGGGUUUUCGGGGUUCCUGAAUGUAAUACCCGGGUAUUAGAUUUUAAGGCUAGGGUAAGGUUUAAGGUAUUUGGCGUUAGGGUUAAAAUCACUGUCCAAAACCUUUGUAGGAACUCUUUUCCAACCUUUUGGAGUUAGUUAGACCAAAAAAUAUGAAAAAAGAAAAAAAUAUUAUUGGGGGUUUUCGGGCUCCCUGAAAGUAAUACCCGGGUAUUAGGUUUUGGGGCUAUGGUAAGGUUUAAGUUUUUUGGCGUUAGGGUUAAAAUCACUGUCCAAAACCUUUGUAGGAACUCUUUUCCAACCUUUUGGAGUUAGUUAGACCAAAAAAAAAUUAAAAAUUAAAAAACAAUAUUUGGGGUUUUCGGGGUUCCUGAAUGUAAUACCCGGGUAUUAGAUUUUAAGGCUAGGGUAAGGUUUAAGGUUUUUGGCGUUAGGGUUAAAAUCACUGUCCAAAACCUUUGUAGGAACUCUUUUCCAACCUUUUGGAGUUAGUUAGACCAAAAAAAAAAAGAAAAAUGAAAAAAAAAUAUUUGGGGUGUUCAGGCUUCCUAAAAGUAAUACCCGGGUAUUAGGUUAUGGGGCUAUGGUAAGGUUUAAGGUUUUUGGCGUUAGGGUUAAAAUCACUGUCCAAAACCUUUGUAGGAACUCUUUUCCAACCUUUUGGAGUUAGUUAGACCAAAAAAUAUGAAAAAAGAAAAAAAUAUUAUUGGGGGUUUUUGGGCUCCCUGAAAGUAAUACCCAUGUAUCAGGUUUUGGGACUAGGGAAAGGUUUAAGGGUUUUGGCAUUAGGGUUAAAAUCACUGUCCAAAACCUUUGUAGGAACUCUUUUCCAACCUUUUGGAGUUAGUUAGACCAAAAAAAAAAGAAAAAUGAAAAAAAAAUAUUUGGGGUGUUCAGGCUUCCUAAAAGUAAUACCCGGGUAUUAGGUUAUGGGGCUAUGGUAAGGUUUAACGUUUUUGCGUUAGGUUUAAAAUCACUGUCCAAAACCUUUGUAGGAACUCUUUAACAACCUUUUGGAUUUAGUUAGACCAAAAAAAAUGAAAAAUUAAAAAAAAUAUAUUUGGGGUGUUCAGGCUUCCUAAAAGUAAUGCCCGGGUAUUAGGUCAUGGGGCUAUGGUAAGGUUUAAGGUUUUUGGCGUUAGGGUUAAAAUCACUGUCCAAAACCUUUGUAGGAACUCUUUUCCAACCUUUUGGAGUUAGUUAGACCAAAAAGUAUGAAAAAAGAAAAAAAUAUUAUUGGGGGUUUUCGGGCUUCCUGAAAGUAAUACCCGGGUAUUAGGUUUUGGGGCUAUGGUAAGGUUUAAGUUUUUUGGCGUUAGGGUUAAAAUCACUGUCCAAAACCUUUGUAGGAACUCUUUUCCAACCUUUUGGAGUAAGUUAGACCAAAAAAUAUGAAAAAAGAAAAAAAUAUUAUUGGGGGUGUUCAGGCUUCCUAAAAGUAAUACCCGGGUAUUAGGUUAUGGGGCUAUGGUAAGGUUUAACGUUUUGGCGUUACGUUUAAAAUCACUGUCCAAAACCUUUGUAGGAACUCUUUUUCAACCUUUUGGAGUUAGUUAGACCAAAAAAAAAUGAAAAAUGAAAAAAUAUAUAUUUGGGGUUUACGGGCUUCUUGAAUGUAAUACCCGGGUAUUAGAUUUUAAGGCCAGGGAAAGGUUUCAGUUUUUUGGCGUUAGGGUUAAAAUCACUGUCCAAAACCUUUGUAGGAACUCUUUUCCAACCUUUUGGAGUUAGUUAGACCAAAAAAUAUGAAAAAAGAAAAAAAUAUUAUUGGGGGUUUUCGGGCUCCCUGAAAGUAAUACCCGGGUAUUAGGUUUUGGGGCUAUGGUAAGGUUUAAGUUUUUUGGCGUUAGGGUUAAAAUCACUGUCCAAAACCUUUGUAGGAACUCUUUUCCAACCUUUUGGAGUUAGUUAGACCAAAAAAUAUGAAAAAGAAAAAAAUAUUAUUGGGGGUUUUCGGGCUCCCUGAAAGUAAUACCCGGGUAUUAGGUUUUGGGGCUAUGGUAAGGUUUAAGUUUUUUGGCGUUAGGGUUAAAAUCACUGUCCAAAACCUUUGUAGGAACUCUUUUCCAACCUUUUGGAGUUAGUUAGACCAAAAAAAAAAGAAAAAUGAAAAAAAAAUAUUUGGGGUGUUCAGGCUUCCUAAAAGUAAUACCCGGGUAUUAGGUUAUGGGGCUAUGGUAAGGUUUAAGUUUUUGGCGUUAGGGUUAAAAUCACUGUCCAAAACCUUUGUAGGAACUCUUUUCCAACCUUUUGGAGUUAGUUAGACCAAAAAAAAAUGAAAAAUGAAAAAAAAUAUAUUUGGGGUGUUCAGGCUUCCUAAAAGUAAUACCCGGGUAUUAGGUUAUGGGGCUAUGGUAAGGUUUAAGGUUUUUGGCGUUAGGGUUAAAAUCACUGUCCAAAACCUUUGUAGGAACUCUUUUCCAACCUUUUGGAGUUAGUUAGACCAAAAAAAAAAUGAAAAAUGAAAAAAAAAAUAUUUGGGGUAUACGGGCUUCCUGAAUGUAAUACCCGGGUAUUAGAUUUUAAGGCCAGGGAAAGGUUUAAGUUAUUUGGCGUUAGGGUUAAAAUCACUGUCCAAAACCUUUGUAGGAACUCUUUUCCAACCUUUUGGAGUUAGUUAGACCAAAAAAUAUGAAAAAAGAAAAAAAUAUUAUUGGGGUUUUCGGGCUCCCUGAAAGUAAUACCCGGGUAUUAGGUUUUGGGGCUAUGGUAAGGUUUAAGUUUUUUGGCGUUAGGGUUAAAAUCACUGUCCAAAACCUUUGUAGGAACUCUUUUCCAACCUUUUGGAGUUAGUUAGACCAAAAAAUAUGAAAAAAGAAAAAAAUAUUAUUGGGGGUUUUCGGGCUCCCUGAAAGUAAUACCCGGGUAUUAGGUUUUGGGGCUAUGGUAAGGUUUAAGUUUUUUGGCGUUAGGGUUAAAAUCACUGUCCAAAACCUUUGUAGGAACUCUUUUCCAACCUUUUGGAGUUAGUUAGACCAAAAAAAUGAAAAAAGAAAAAAAUAUUAUUGGGGGUUUUCGGGCUCCCUGAAAGUAAUACCCGGGUAUUAGGUUUUGGGGCUAUGGUAAGGUUUAAGUUUUUUGGCGUUAGGGUUAAAAUCACUGUCCAAAACCUUUGUAGGAACUCUUUUCCAACCUUUUGGAGUUAGUUAGACCAAAAAAAAAAGAAAAAUGAAAAAAAAAUAUUUGGGGUGUUCAGGCUUCCUAAAAGUAAUACCCGGGUAUUAGGUUAUGGGGCUAUGGUAAGGUUUAACGUUUUGGCGUUAGGGUUAAAAUCACUGUCCAAAACCUUUGUAGGAACUCUUUUCCAAAGUUUUGGAGUCGGUUAGACAAAAAAUAAAUGUAAAAUGAAAAAAAUAUAUAUUUGGGGUUUUCAGGCUUCCUAAAAGUAAUACCCGGGUAUUAGGUUAUGGGGCUAUGGUAAGGUUUAAGGUUUUUGGCGUUAGGGUUAAAAUCACUGUCCAAAACCUUUGUAGGAACUCUUUUCCAACCUUUUGGAGUUAGUUAGACCAAAAAAAGAAUGAAAAAUGAAAAAAAAAUAUUUGGGGUUUCCGGGCUUCCUGAAGGUAAUACAAGGGUAUUAUGUUAUGGGGCUAGAGUAAGGUUUAAGUUUUUUGGCGUUAGGGUUAAAAUCACUGUCCAAAACCUUUGUAGGAACUCUUUUCCAACCUUUUGGAGUUAGUUAGACCAAAAAAAAUGUAAAAUGAAGAAAAAAAUAUUUGGGGUGUUCAGGCUUCCUAGAAGUAAUACCCGGGUAUAAGAUUAUGGGGCUAUGGUAAGGUUUAAGGUUUUUGGCAUUAGGGUUAAAAUCACUGUCCAAAACCUUUGUAGGAACUCUUUUCCAACCUUUUGGAGUUAGUUAGACCAAAAAAAAAAUGUAAAAUGAAAAAAAUAUAUAUUUUGGUUGUUCGGGCUUCCUAAAAGUAAUACCCGGGUAAUAGGUUAUGGGGCUAUGGUAAGGUUUAAGGUUUUUGGCGUUAGGGUUAAAAUCACUGUCCAAAACCUUUGUAGGAACUCUUUUCCAACCUUUUGGAGUUAGUUAGACCAAAAAAUAUGAAAAAAGAAAAAAAUAUUAUUGGGGGUUUUCGGGCUACCUGAAAGUAAUACCCGGGUAUUAGGUUUUGGGGCUAUGGUAAGGUUUAAGUUUUUUGGCGUUAGGGUUAAAAUCACUGUCCAAAACCUUUGUAGGAACUCUUUUCCAACCUUUUGGAGUUAGUUAGACCAAAAAAAAAUGAAAAAUUAAAAAACAAUAUUUGGGGUUUUCGGGGUUCCUGAAUGUAAUACCCGGGUAUUAGAUUUUAAGGCUAGGGUAAGGUUUAAGGUUUUUGGCGUUAGGGUUAAAAUCACUGUCCAAAACCUUUGUAGGAACUCUUUUCCAACCUUUUGGAGUUAGUUAGACCAAAAAAUAUGAAAAAAAAAAAAAAUAUUAUUGGGGGUUUUCGGGCUCCUGAAAGUAAUACCCGGGUAUUAGGUUUUGGGGCUAUGGUAAGGUUUAAGUUUUUUGGCGUUAGGGUUAAAAUCACUGUCCAAAACCUUUGUAGGAACUCUUUUCCAACCUUUUGGAGUUAGUUAGACCAAAAAAUAUGAAAAAAGAAAAAAAUAUUAUUGGGGGUUUUCGGGCUCCCUGAAAGUAAUACCCGGGUAUUAGGUUUUGGGGCUAUGGUAAGGUUUAAGUUUUUUGGCAUUAGGGUUAAAAUCACUGUCCAAAACCUUUGUAGGAACUCUUUUCCAACCUUUUGGAGUUAGUUAGACCAAAAAAAAAUUAAAAAUUAAAAAACAAUAUUUGGGGUUUUCGGGGUUCCUGAAUGUAAUACCCGGGUAUUAGAUUUUGGGGCUAGGGUAAGGUUUAAGGUUUUUGGCGUUAGGGUUAAAAUCACUGUCCAAAACCUUUGUAGGAACUCUUUUCCAACCUUUUGGAGUUAGUUAGACCAAAAAAAAAAAAGAAAAAUGAAAAAAAAAUAUUUGGGGUGUUCAGGCUUCCUGAAAGUAAUACCCGGGUAUUAGGUUAUGGGGCUAUGGUAAGGUUUAAGGUUUUUGGCGUUAGGGUUAAAAUCACUGUCCAAAACCUUUGUAGGAACUCUUUUUCAACCUUUUGGAGU